GUUUCAGAAAGAGAUAUUGCUUUUCAUCAUAGCAAUUUGCAGAGAUGCGCAAAUCUUUAUCCCUUUUUUGUGUCAUGGUCUAGAAUCGGAGAACACAAUUUUUAACUUCAGUUUGAUCAGUUCUGUAAAGAAUUUGAAUUGCCCUUAGGUUCACAACGUUCUCAAAAGACCACACAGAGACCCCAUUAAAGAUGCACUCAAACAGUGGCGAAUCUUUAAAAAAAAAAAAAU
rnacentral:misc_RNA from 1 species